GACGUAGGGCGCGAGCGUUGUCCGGAUUUAUUGGGCGUAAAGAGCUCGUAGGCGGCUUGUCGCGUCGUCCGUGAAAACUUGGGGCUCAACCCCAAGCUUGCGGUCGAUACGGGCAGGCUAGAGUUCGGUAGGGGAGACUGGAAUUCCUGGUGUAGCGGUGAAAUGCGUAGAGAUCGGGAGGAACACCAGAGGCGAAGGCGGCUCGCUGGACAAGUAUUGACACUCAACAACGAAAGCGUGGGGAGCAAACAGG
rnacentral:rRNA from 1 species